CAUAGUGAUCCGGUGGUUCUGAAUGGAAGGGCCAUCGCUCAACGGAUAAAAGGUACUCCGGGGAUAACAGGCUGAUACCGCCCAAGAGUUCAUAUCGACGGCGGUGUUUGGCACCUCGAUGUCGGCUCAUCACAUCCUGGGGCUGAAGUAGGUCCCAAGGGUAUGGCUGUUCGCCAUUUAAAGUGGUACGCGAGCUGGGUUUAGAACGUCGUGAGACAGUUCGGUCCCUAUCUGCCGUGGGCGCUGGAGAACUGAGGGGGGCUGCUCCUAGUACGAGAGGACCGGAGUGGACGCAUCACUGGUGUUCGGGUUGUCAUGCCAAUGGCACUGCCCGGUAGCUAAAUGCGGAAGAGAUAAGUGCUGAAAGCAUCUAAGCACGAAACUUGCCCCGAGAUGAGUUCUCCCUGACCCUUUAAGGGUCCUGAAGGAACGUUGAAGACGACGACGUUGAUAGGCCGGGUGUGUAAGC
rnacentral:rRNA from 1 species